rnacentral:rRNA from 1 species
UGCAGUCGACGGUAAGGCCCCUUCGGGGGUACCGAGUGGCGAACGGGUGAGUAACACGUGGGUGAUCUGCCCUGCACUCUGGGAUAAGCCUGGGAAACUGGGUCUAAUACCGGAUAUGAGCUCCUGUCGCAUGGCGGGGGUUGGAAAGGUUUACUGGUGCAGGAUGGGCCCGCGGCCUAUCAGCUUGUUGGUGGGGUAAUGGCCUACCAAGGCGACGACGGGUAGCCGGCCUGAGAGGGCGACCGGCCACACUGGGACUGAGACACGGCCCAGACUCCUACGGGAGGCAGCAGUGGGGAAUAUUGCACAAUGGGCGAAAGCCUGAUGCAGCGACGCCGCGUGAGGGAUGACGGCCUUCGGGUUGUAAACCUCUUUCAGCAGGGACGAAGCGAGAGUGACGGUACCUGCAGAAGAAGCACCGGCCAACUACGUGCCAGCAGCCGCGGUAAUACGUAGGGUGCGAGCGUUGUCCGGAAUUACUGGGCGUAAAGAGCUCGUAGGCGGUUUGUCGCGUCGUCCGUGAAAACUUGGGGCUCAACCCCAAGCUUGCGGGCGAUACGGGCAGACUUGAGUACUGCAGGGGAGACUGGAAUUCCUGGUGUAGCGGUGAAAUGCGCAGAUAUCAGGAGGAACACCGGUGGCGAAGGCGGGUCUCUGGGCAGUAACUGACGCUGAGGAGCGAAAGCGUGGGUAGCGAACAGGAUUAGAUACCCUGGUAGUCCACGCCGUAAACGGUGGGCGCUAGGUGUGGGUUUCCUUCCACGGGAUCCGUGCCGUAGCUAA